CUCCGAGGAGCUGGGCGGGGGGGGACACGACUCUGGUUCCCGGCCGCCCGCCGCCGGGGAAGGGUUAGUCACGGUUCGUCGAGAGUGUUUUGGGGCGAUGUCGGUCGGGGGCCGGCCUAGCGCUUUGGGUGGCGUUGUUGGAAAAGACGAUGGCACCGGACCAGGGAAUCCAUCCCAGAGAGGGGGCUCCCUCGCCGGCUGGUGACUGGAGGCCGUUUGGCUGGACGCAGGACGGGGGGUGGAUGUCGAGGGGGGGCCCGCGGCUGGGGGACACGGCCCGUGCGUGCCUUUUCUCCCGUGUUGUGGCGUGGGAAGGAUGGAUGGCGGCGUUCUUUGCGACGGUUCGGGUCCCUGGUCCUGAGGCCGCUGUUCAAGACACUGUUAAGAGGAAGGCGAAUGAGGAGCUGUGAAGGACAGUACAUGGGUCCAAAAUAUGUGUGAGUUUAUACCAUAUGUUCCAUGGAGCCACUGACUGAGGCCUGGUGGAGACUAGAUGUCUGUCCAGCUGGAGGUGGUUGGUGGAGAGUAGGGUUCUGCCAGGCUGAAGGUGGUUGGUGCUGGUGGAGGCUAGGGAACGGUUGUGAGGGGGCCGGGGGCCAGUGGCUGGCCUGCUCCAUUUUCCUCCUCAACCGCCAUUGGAAGAGGAUGUCUUCUUCCGGGCGUUGGCAACUAAUGGAGGAAGAUGGCGUGUAGCCGUUCUGCGAGGGGCCCACAGGGGCCGAAGAUGAGCUUGUGUUACCUGUAGGUUCAUGAACAAAACUGCAUUUAGUAAUACAGUAUAAAAUGUAUAAUACACCAUAACAUAAUGCAGUGUGACAUUGUGUGUGUGGGGGGAUGGCUGGUUUAACCUGUGCACAUUGAUU
ensembl:lncRNA